AGAUUGCCUUGGAUCCAUGGCAGAGUCAUCCCAGAUUGAAGUGAAACAUGUUGCUCCUCAGUUGCUUCGAAAUCUUCCCCAAAGAACAUGGAUAUUUGAUCUCUGACUGCUCCACUGAAUGUUGCACCGAGCCAUUUAUUUCCUUCUGGUUACAUUUCAAUAGGAUCAGAAAAAUCCCAGCUCCCUGGCAAACAAUGUUUCAGCACAUUUAAACUAUUAGUUGGAGGAUCAAGUACAGUAUGCCAUUUUUGACCCAGAUUCAAGUGUUAAUUAACCCUCUGUAUAAUAUUCUCAUAUCUAUAACUCUUCUGCUUCAGUUUCUUGCCCUAGGAAGGGUUGACCUUGAUAUAAGCACUUAAUAUUUAACUGCAGCAAGAAAG